rnacentral:rRNA from 1 species
UACGUAGGCAGCAAACGUUGUUCGGAAUUACUGGGCGUAAAGAGUGUGUAGGCGGUUUCGCAAGUUUGGUGUGAAAUCUCCCGGCUUAACUGGGAGGGUGCGCCGAAAACUGCGAGGCUAGAGUGCUGGAGAGGAAAGCGGAAUUCCUGGUGUAGCGGUGAAAUGCGUAGAUAUCAGGAGGAACACCGGUGGUGUAGACGGCUUUCUGGACAGCUACUGACGCUGAGACACGAAAGCGUGGGGAGCAAAC